AAGUCGUAACAAGGUUUCCGUAGGUGAACCUGCGGAAGGAUCAUUACCACGUAUCCAUACGUAUCCACCCUCUGUGCACUCGUUUUCACUCGCCCUUCUCUGCUACAUGAAUUGGCUACUACUAAUGUGUUGGGGGACGUUGAAUGGGAUUGUAUGAGCGCGUCAGCACUCUGCAGUCAUCUGCCAACUCACAACGUGGGUGCUUUCGGGCAUUCAGACAAUUGGAGUAGUAUGGGAAGGUUAUUCUUCUUGCCACUGUUUUCUCCAUUCAAUGAGGGCAGUGGUGAGACUUUCACACAUCACUUAUUUCACAACACUUUUUGCUAGUUGACUUUUUUACUGUCAUUGUCUAUUGGCUUCGGCUGGUAGCAGUGCACACGUUUCUUAAUUGAACGUAAAAUUACAACUCUUAGCAAUGGAUAUCUUGGUUCUC
rnacentral:misc_RNA from 1 species